GUUCAAAAAGACCGAAUCGAUCAGUCUGCGGUCGGUUGGGAUCAUGUGGAGAACGUGGAGAAGCAUCAGUCUCAAAAAGACUACAAAACUGGAUUCGGUGGCGAGUUUGGGGUUCAGAGUGACCGUGUGGAUAAGUCCGCUUUGGGAUGGGAGCAUGUGGAAAAAGUGUCGAAGCACGAGUCGCAAAAAGAUUACAAAUCUGGCUUUGGCGGAGAUCAUGGCGUCCAAAAUGACCGAAUGGAUCCGAGUGCUUUAGGGUGGGAUUUCUAUGAAACCCCUGAACGUCACGCUUCACAGUUAGGUGUAUAUGAGUGAAUCAAAAGCAUGCGAGCAAAGACCAUUAACUGUGCAUUUUGAAUUUUGGUUUCAAUU